AAAACAUAGUAUUACUGAUAAUGUCUUCGAGAUAUUAGCAGCAGUAUAAAAGAAACGCGAAAAAAUUGAAGUUGCAGUAAAUAUUGCUGCUUAAUUGACGUAUGCGCAAAUGCAAUUCCAGUAUCUAUAUAAUGGCGCGAUUUUACGACAUACGGUUAGUCAUUAAUUUUGAUAAAUAGACAGAACGAAUUGUAUUCCAAGUAUAGCGAUUUGCAUAUCAAAUUGAAAAUUGAAAAAAGAAGAAACGUGUUACAAAUUGAGCUAUUUGCGACAUUAGAAUCCAACGACGUCAGUAACAAAAUUAAACAAAUUUAAAGAAAGAAUUUGGAUUUAACAUUUGAUGUGACACCAUCGAUUUACACGAUUUAUUUCAACAAAAUUUUCCGCAAUUCCAUGGAAAUGGUCAUCAAUCAGCGCAAUUAACGUGCGUCUUGCCCACAUAUAGUGCAAAUGUUCGUCUAUCGUAAUCACGCGAUAUAACAGUGUAAGGAAACGUAACUACAUAAGUAUGCAGCCGACAGUCAUUCGUACUUUCACCGCUGUUCGUGGGUGUAGUUUUGCAAACUUAUCUGCCGCGUGUACGUAAUUAUCCCUUUUGUUUUGCAUAUCCUGCUGUUUUACACGAACGUUAAAAACACAGAAAGCGUUCUUUUUUUUAUGCCAGGUGUUAUUAUGCUGGAAAGAAAGAAUAGGCUCGUCGAAUCUAAUUAAAACGGGACACAUUUACGCUUCUACAGCCCAGCUAUACGACAUUAAAACAGCACAUGCGACAAUUUUGCGUUUUAUCGUUUACAUCUAACUGCCGUAACAUUCAUUCGUAGCCAUUUGUGUCAUCUUAAAAUUGUCAAGGAUAAAUGGCGAUCGCCAAAUUGCUGUCUCAUGAAGCAAGGAUGCAAAAUAUUUUUAUAGCGGGAUAAUAUAAUAAUAAAGAGCGCUCGUAAUAAUUUACGUUACCAGGUUCCAGGCAUGACACGACAAUUUUUUUUCAAGUAAAUAUAUACAUGUGUGUCGGUGUGUAUUCCCCUUAAUAUCUAAAUAGUCUAUCAAGAUAUCAAGUAUCUUAUCGUACGAACGAUAACGUUUCAGGGGAAUCGUUGAGAAAUCGUUUUUUAAAAAAGUUCAUUACCUACGAGAAACAUCCUUCCUUCGCUGUUACGAGAUGUACUUUGCACAGACCUGUACUCUCAAAAUUCAUCUGUAGCGAACUAAAUAGAGGAGAAGCCUUUCGAAUAACCGAGGUCGCGUGACUAAGCAUCUCAAAUAUGGAUGCGAUAUCUGUUCGCAAACCUCGCCAAGUGAUAAUAAAGCACAUGCGGUCGCGCACGUAACUAUUAAUAGCGGUGGUUUCCGACUUGAUUUUGGGUGACGCUACAAUGUUUUUGUUCUCAAUGCUAUGUUUACGUCAAACGAAAUUUAUUACAUGGUUUUCCUGAGAUCUCGUUACAAUUAUCGAUAUUUCAAUCCGUAGGCGAUACGUUUUUUUCGAAGAUAAAUGCACGAAAUACGAGUACACAGAAGACGAUGAGUACGCGCGAUGACUGAAUGGAAAAUAAUUUGAAACGAUAGUUUAAUGUGUGGAGAGGGAACGACGCGCGUUUGGCAAAAGUUGCAAAACAUUUCAUCGACGUUCAAGUGUUAAUUAAUCACGAUACAAGCGCAAAUUUAUGCGUGCAAAUAGAAGCGUGACUGUAAGACAGAGAAGUAAAAGACGACACACCUGUGUAAGACACGUGACUCGUGACAAGCUCGAAAAGCAAAUAGCCAACGCUUGUUAUCAUAAAUAUCGAGCUGAAUUCAAUAGCCGUAUGCUAGUUAGCCGAGUAUGUCAUGUGGAAUGUGUAAAGAAAACAAUAUUACGAAAUUAGAACGACAGGGCUUCACAACGUUUUAUACAAGUUUGUCCUCCAACCGAUAACCAUUCGCGAUAUCAACAUAAUAACGUCGAAUCGACGACCUACCAUUGGCGAUGAUAUUUGUAAUUUAAAAUAAAAGGCAGGAAGAGAGAGAGAGAGAGAGAGAAAGAGAGACAGAGAGAGAUAGGCUCGAAGAAAUGGCCAGAACGUUAUCACAUGUAACUGCACAAUAAAUCGUACGAUGUAGCAUAAACAGA
rnacentral:lncRNA from 11 species